GGGCGGGUAGCGUAGCGGUCAGCGCAUCCCCUGAGCGUAAUAAUCAGCGUUGCUUUCUAUUCAAAAUCGAUCCUUAUCAGAGCGUUCAUUGGAAGACCUGGGUUCGAACCCCAGCCCGCCCA